UGUACACGCUGUGACUAGCAUAUCAAUAAGCGGAGGAAAAGAAACUAACAAGGAUUCCCCUAGUAACGGCGAGUGAAGCGGGAAGAGCUCAAAUUUGAAAUCUUAAAGGGUUUCCCUUUACGAAUUGUAGUUUAAAGAAGUGUUUCUCUGCUGAGGUUUUGGUAAAAGUUCUUUGGAAUAGGACAUCAUAGAGGGCGAGAAUCCCGUAUUUGACCUUUACUUUCAACUUUGUGAUACACUUUCAAAGAGUCGGAUUGUUUGGGAAUGCAGUCCAAAAUGGGUGGUAAAUUUCAUCUAAAGCUAAAUAUUGGCGAGAGACCGAUAGCGAACAAGUACCGUGAGGGAAAGAUGAAAAGAACUUUGAAAAGAGAGUUAAACAGUACGUGAAAUUGUCAAAAGGGAAGCGUUUGACACCAGUGUUGUUUUUCUGAAAAUCAAUUAAAGAACUGUUUAUGCUAAGCUGUUUAGACUUUAUCAGCUAAUCUGUUUAGUUUUGAGCUUUUCUUUAAUGCACUUUUCAGUUAACAAGUCAACAUCAAUUUCUUUUGCUGUAAAAAAGCUUGAGGAAGGUGGCUUGAGAUUCGUCUUAAGUGUUUAUAGCCUCUUGCCUAUGCAGUCGGAGAGAUUGAGGUCUGCAGCGUAGAUCCUUCGGGGCUAAAUGCAUUUGUGCUAAGUUAUAGCAUUUUAUAGACAACUUGUUGACUAUGAUUUGUCUUGUAGCUUACUCGCUUAUGUUAUUUUACCUACGCUUAGGAUGUUGACGCGCGUGUGUGCGUG
rnacentral:rRNA from 1 species